AAACUUUCCAUGCUACUUUGAUGGCAGAGGAAAGGCAUCAUGGUACAGGGAAGUGAUCAUGGGUUUUUGGAGCUGAACCACUUGCAUUUCAAUUCACACUCUGCCUUUAACUGGCUCUAUAACCUUGAACAAAUCACUUUUCUAAACUUGAGUUUCAAAUGGAGAUGAUAAUAUCUAUUUCACAAAACAUUUUUUAAGAAUGAAAUAAAUGAUAGGCAACACAUACUCUAGUAGCUGUUCAACAAUCAUUCAUUUUCUCAACUUGCAAAUAGCCAUCCUAUAAUCUGCACUAUUCAGAUUGUUUGCUAAACCGUGAAAUUUUUUUAGAAUUAGAAGAAUUUAACUCAAUUCCCUCAAUUUCCAGACAAAGAAGUAACAGCCUGGGGAGAUGAAAAGACUUGCCUGAGAACACAGAAUGUACAGGGGGUAGAAUAGAGCUGGCACUGUUUUCCCCAAACACCCACGUGUCUCCAGCAUACCACAUUGCCUCAUGUGUAUCCUCUAAUGUUUAAUGGAGGAUAUUACGAGAUAUCCAUAUAUCCAUUCUAUCUCCUGAGUAAGCCUAAAGAGGGUGGCGAUUAAUAGUGACCUUAUGUUCUCUUUGCUAGUUACAUGCUAUGGGAAAACUUCCUGGAACCAGAAUGGCAGAGUUAAAAGCCAAGUAUACCUUGCUGCAUGACGCCGUGAUGAGCACACAGGAGUCAGAGGUCCAACUGCUACAGAACGCCAAACGUUUCACUGAGCAAAUACAACAGCAGCAGUUUCAUGUGCAGCAAGCUGAUAAUUUUCCAGAAGCAUUCUCCACGGAGGUCUCCAAAAUGAGAGAGCAACUUCUCAAGUAUCAAAAUGAAUAUAAUGCAGCAAAGGAAAGAGAGUUCCAUAAUCAGUACAGAUUAAAUAGCUUAAUGGAAGAAAAAAACAUCAUAGUAAAAGAAUUUGAGAAGAUACCAAAGCCAGGAGAAAUGGAGAAGAAGAUGAAAAUAUUGAGAGAAAGCACUGAAGAAUUACGUAAAGAAAUAAUGCAGAAGAAGUUAGAAAUUAAAAACUUACGAGAAGAUUUGGUUUCUAAACAAAAGCAAUUACUAAAGGAGCAGAAGGAGCUAGAAGAAUUGUUGGAACAUCAGGUCAUCCUAAAGGAUGAAUUGGCCCACCAUCAAACCAUUCCGGUACAAAUUGGAAAAGAGAUAGAAAAAACAACACGCAAAAAAGUAGAAAUGGAAAAGAAAAAAAUUGUCUUGGAACAUGAAGUCAAAAAGCUAAAUGACUCCCUAAAGAAAGUUGAAAACAAGGUUAGUGCUAUAGUGGAGGAGAAGGAAGAUGUAAUAAAGGAAGUUGAAGGCAAACGGGCCUUACUUGAGAUCAAAGAACGAGAACAUAACCAAUUGGUCAAGCUAUUGGAAUUAGCCAGAGAGAAUGAAGCAACUUUGUUAACUGAAAGAGGGAUCUUGGAUCUCAAUUUACGCAACAGUCUCAUCGACAAGCAGAACUACCAUGAUGAACUUUCUCGUAAGCAAAGAGAAAAAGAACGAGAUUUUCGAAAUUUAAAAAAGAUGGAACUGCUCUUGAAAGUGUCCUGGGAUGCCCUCACUCAAACUCAAGCAUUACAUGAAAGGCUUCUAUUAGAGAUUGAAGCUGUCCCCAAAGAUGAUUCUAUAUUAUCUGAGAGAAGGCGAGAGCUUCACAAGGAAGUGGAAGUAGCUAAGAGGAAUUUGGUCCAACAGAAAAUGCUAUCAGAAAUAGAGUCUAAGUUAGUAGAACAACAACUUGCAGAAGAAAACAAGCUUUUAAAGGACCAAGAACACAUAAAAGAGCUAGUAUUCAACCUUGUCCGCAUGACUCAAGUCAAAAUUGAUGAAAAGGAACAAAAGUCCAAGGAUUUCCUGAAAGCUCAGCAAAAAUAUACCAACAUUGUUAAGGAAAUCAAAGCAAAGGAUCUUGAAAUCAGGAUACACAAGAAGAAAAAAUGUGAAAUUUUUCGGAGACUCAGAGAAUUUGCUAAGCUGUAUGACACUGUUCGAAAUGAAAGAAACAAAUUUGUUAAUUUACUCCACAAAGCUCACCAGAAAGUAAAUGAAAUAAAAGAAAGGUAUAAAAUGUCGUUAAAUGAACUUGAAAUUCUGAGAAAUAGUGCAAUUAGUCAAGAAAGAAAGCUACAAAAUUCCAUGCUGAAACACGCCAACAAUGUUACCAUCAGAGAGAGCAUGCAAAACGAUGUGUGCAAAAUUGUAUCAAAACUUCAGGAAAUGAAAGAAAAGAAGGAAGCCCAGUUAAAUAACAUUGACAGACUUGCCAAUAUGAUCACAAUGAUUGAAGAGGAGAUGGUGCAGCUUCGCAAAAGAUACGAAAAAGCUGUUCAGCAUCGAAAUGAAAGUGGCGUUCAGCUGAUAGAGCGGGAAGAAGAAGUAUGCAUUUUUUAUGAAAAAAUAAAUAUCCAAGAGAAGAUGAAACUAAAUGGAGAAAUUGAAAUACAUGUCCUGGAAGAAAAGAUCCGAUUCCUCAAACUGAAGAUUGCUGAGAAGCAAAGACAAAUUCGUGUGACCCAGAAAUUGCUGCCAGCCAAAAGGUCCCUGGAUGCUGACCUAGCUGUGCUCCAAAUUCAGUUUUCACAGUGUACAGACAGAAUUAGAGACCUGGAGAAAGAGUUUGUAAAACUUGAUGGUAAGAACAGAGCUCGCUUCCUUCCUGGGAAAGAUCUGACCGAAAAAGAAAUGAUCAAAAAAUUAGAUGAGCUGGAACUACAACUGGCCAAGAAGGAGGAGAAGCUGCUGGAGAAGGAUUUCAUCUAUGAGCAGGUCUCCCGGCUCACGGACAGGCUUUCCAGCAGAACUCAGGCCUGCAAGCAGGACACACUGCUCUUAGCCAAGAAGAUGAAUGGCUAUCAGAAAAGGAUCAAAAAUGCAACUGAGAAAAUGAUGGCUCUUGUUGCUGAGCUGUCCAUGAAACAAGCCCUGAUCAUUGAACUGCAAAAGGAAGUCAGGGAAAAAGAAGACUUCAUCUUCACUUGCAACUCCAGGAUAGAACAAGGUCUGGCACUCAGUAAGGAAAUUGAGAAAGAAUGGUUGAAGGCACUUCGAGAUGAAGACAUGCAUGCCUCGGCCAUGGCUGAAAAGUCUCGGGAGCUCUCGGAAAAAGGUAAGCGCAAGCUGCCUAAUGGUGUUUACACGACUGCAGAGCUGCGUCCAAAUGCCUACAUCCCAGAAGCAGAUGACACUCUUCCUGUGCCAAAACCUUACGGUGCUUUGGCUCCUUUUCAACCCCGUGACCCUGGAGCCAAUAUGAGGCACAUAAGGAAACCUAUUGUAAAGCCAAUUGAAAUCUGAAUAUGUUAACAGAUCCAGACCUCUCAAGGAGAAGACUUCAGCCAGGCAUCCUUGUACCCACAGCUGAAAAAUGUGAGCAUAAUUGUUCUAAAAUUAUAGAUAAGUAAGGUGUCCACAGUUAGUUAACAACAGAUUUCAACAUGGUCUCUGAAUAGGACAUAGAACCGUCCUACAUUCAUGUCAAAGUAUAUAUUUGAAUUGCUUAUAUUUUCCUUUUCACUCUUUAUAUUGACUACAUUCCAGAAAUUUGUAGUAGGCAAGGCACUACAAAAAUGCACUAAAAAUAAAACAGUUUUCAAUGAAGUAUAGAAAUGGGCAGAGUGGUCUUUGUUUAUUCAAGAAAAAACAAAUACUGUUCAAUAUGUACACUUUAAAAAGAAAGAAUGACUGAAAAGGAAAAUAUUUCAAAUAUUGCAAAGGCAUAACUGUUGAAUAAGAAGUAUCACUUAAUCUUGUAAAGUAUGUAAAAAAGUAGUGAAACUU